AUUGAACGCUGGCGGCAGGCCUAACACAUGCAAGUCGAGCGGAUGAAGGGAGCUUGCUCCUGGAUUCAGCGGCGGACGGGUGAGUAAUGCCUAGGAAUCUGCCUGGUAGUGGGGGAUAACAUCCGGAAACGGGCGCUAAUACCGCAUACGUCCUGAGGUAGAAAGUGGGGGAUCUUCGGACCUCACGCUAUCAGAUGAGCCUAGGUCGGAUUAGCUAGUUGGUGGGGUAAAGGCCUACCAAGGCGACGAUCCGUAACUGGUCUGAGAGGAUGAUCAGUCACACUGGAACUGAGACACGGUCCAGACUCCUACGGGAGGCAGCAGUGGGGAAUAUUGGACAAUGGGCGAAAGCCUGAUCCAGCCAUGCCGCGUGUGUGAAGAAGGUCUUCGGAUUGUAAAGCACUUUAAGUUGGGAGGAAGGGCAGUAAGUUAAUACCUUGCUGUUUUGACGUUACCAACAGAAUAAGCACCGGCUAACUUCGUG
rnacentral:rRNA from 1 species